GGGAGGCCCAUGGCGAUAAUUGGCUGGCAGCUCCUGCUGCUCAAGAUCCCAGAGGAGGCGGCGGAGCCUACGGAGUUCACGGUGCAAGGCGUCGUCCGUCACUGGACCACUCCCAGCCAACCUUCACCUCGUUCCAUCAGCGAGUUGAGAAGGGAUGCAUUGGAGAAGAAGAACAAGUAGCCAAAAGUCUGAGACACGAGGUCAGGGUGCAGCUCGCACUGGCUGGUCAGCUCCAAGGCUGCCUGGAACACGCCCAGGGUCCAGUGGCUUUGUGCUUCCUCGCCUCCAAGAAUGAACUCGCUCACUGCUAUCUAAGCUCCAAGUCCAAUGGGCUGCGGUGAAUUCUCACACUGAUCUCUCAACUUCACAUCCAGUGGGAUCUCUCCCCACUAUCUCCCAUAAUGGUUUCUUCCUAAGAUGGAGCCUUGCUCUGUCCUCCAGGCUGGAGUCCAGUGGCACGAUCUCUGCUCACUGCAGCCUCUGCCUCCUGAGUUCAAGCAAUUCUCCUGCCUCAGUCUGUUGAGUAGCUGGGAUUACAGGCACCCACCACCACACCCGGCUAAUUUUUGUAUUUUUAGUAGAGAAAGGUUUUCACCACGUUGACCAGGCUGGUCUUAAACUCCUGAUCUCAGGUGAUCCACCUACCUCGGCCUCCCAAAGUGCUGGGAUUACAGGCAUGAACUGUCGCGCCCGGCCCCCCCAUCGACUUUGAAUAAACACUCCAAGGAGAUCUGGGAUCUCAAAGGACUCUCUAAGCACCCCCACCGCCACUGAGUGGACUCUUCCCAGGUACUUUGUAUGGUGGAUGGUCCCAUAAUGCCCAUCCCGAAGACCGGCUAUGUACAAGAAGACCCCCCCUUUUUUUUUGAGACAGAGUCACGCUCUGUUGCCAGGCUGGAGUGCAGUG